GACGAACGCUGGCGGCGUGCUUAACACAUGCAAGUCGAACGAAAAGGCCCUGCUUUUGUGGGGUGCUCGAGUGGCGAACGGGUGAGUAACACGUGAGUAACCUGCCCUUGACUUUGGGAUAACUUCAGGAAACUGGGGCUAAUACCGGAUAGGAGCUCCUGCUGCAUGGUGGGGGUUGGAAAGUUUCGGCGGUUGGGGAUGGACUCGCGGCUUAUCAGCUUGUUGGUGGGGUAGUGGCUUACCAAGGCUUUGACGGGUAGCCGGCCUGAGAGGGUGACCGGCCACAUUGGGACUGAGAUACGGCCCUGACUCCUACGGGAGGCAGCAGUGGGGAAUAUUGCACAAUGGGCGGAAGCCUGAUGCAGCAACGCCGCGUGCGGGAUGACGGCCUUCGGGUUGUAAACCGCUUUCGCCUGUGACGAAGCGUGAGUGACGGUAAUGGGUAAAGAAGCACCGGCUAACUACGUG
rnacentral:rRNA from 1 species